AAAUAAUUAACCUGAAGUAAUUUAUAUUUUUAUUUUAACUGAAUGAAUCAGCUGCAGUUGAAUAAAGAGAAAUUUAAAUUUAAAGUCAGCUUUUGUAGAAACUUUAAAAACAUUUUUUGAAUUUAACUUUGUGAAGAUAAUUGUUUAAUGAGUUUAUAAUUUGACCUGAUGGUUCUGGUUCCAGGUUCUUUGAUGUUUUUGUGGAUCAACCGUUCUAAAGCUCUCUGGACUCUGAGGGUUUCAGCAGCUCUCAGACCAGCUCAGACGGUGCAGCUGUGGGUUUCUGGGCCGAGCCAGAGCUGGCGAUGGAGACAGAGAYUUGGACGAGGAUGGAGGUUUCCUGGUGACCCACAGGCAGCAGUAACAGGAGGUACGGGAGCCUGCAUGUGCCAGAAAGAAGACGUAAGUCCUGAACGAUGCAGGUGCAGACUGGUCUUUGCACUCUGGGUGACACACACUGGGACAGUCAUGGUCUUUGUGUGUUUCUGGUUGAAGACACAAGGUUUUUCAGAACUUAUUGGUUGUUUCUAAACCAGCUCUGAUAAGAACAGGUUGUGUUAAAAUUAGGAGUAAUUAGUAAGUAAUAAACAGAAUCUGUCUUUCUGCAGAACAUGUCUGAUGUGGACAGACUGGUUUCAGCAGAUGURAAACAGAACAGAAAUAUUCCUUCCACUGAACGUAGAUCCAUAUCUGCUGGUGUUCAGCCUCUGAGUGGCGUUUGGUGUGUUUGCACGUCGGCAGCGGUCCACCUACAGAUGGUCGGGCUUUCGCUCGUCUGUCACACUCUGAUUGGCUGCUUUGCUGCUGGAAGCUUCAGAUCUGACAGACUUUUCACGUGACAACACAAACACACAACAUGAGGWGCAGCAGAGCUGCGUCACAGGAUCUGGACUCACUCAGCCUCUUCAUACAACACACAACUCUUAAAAACAGGAGGAGGUUAAGGAACGACUCUCAUGGUGGUGGAGGAAUGUGACCCAUUCUUCUCUCCAACAUGUUUGUUCUGAGCUCUUAGGAAACGAUUUUAAAGUUUUGAGUUUAAAA